rnacentral:lncRNA from 1 species
AGGCCCCAGCUCCUCUGUUCUGCCCAGUGGCCUGGCGCAGGAAAGGUGACCCAGUAGUUCAGCCUGUCCCAGCUGCCUGCCCCAGCACCAUCCCAGACCCCUUUCCCUGGGGCCCACCUUGGCCCUGAGGAAGGCCAGAGCUCGGCUGCUGUUCUCCAGGAAGUGCACACGCAGGCGGCCCCGGCUCGGGGGUGGCAGGGCCUCCCCUGAGAUGAGCUCCAGCAGCCGCAGGAGGUGGAUGCCGUCAGCCAGCUCUGUGUACAGGUUCCGGAUCUUGAUGCCCGCCUGGGGAGGGGACAGGGUGCAGCUCUGCUCGUGCCUGUGAAGCCUCCCACAGCCUGGGAAGGAAAAUCCAGACUUGCCAGACCUUGCCUCAGCCAGGCCUUGGAAGCCUGCCAGCUUACCUAACCAGUAAGACCCUCAGCCCAUGGAGUCCUGUGUGAUGUUGUGAGCGUGGGAGGACAGACUGAACUGCUCGGCCCGUGGAGUCCUGUGUGAUGUUGUGAGCGGGGAGGACAGACUGAACUGCGUGGUGCUUCGCACAUAGACCUCAACAGGGAUUGGCAUUUUGAAGCUGUUGGCGGGGGCUGUGGACUGCUUUUCUUCCUUUCUAGCUCAACGGCAGCUAAAGCCACUGCAUACAAUGCAAGGACUGGCUCCUGUUUGGCCACGACUGAUUGCAGCCCCUGGUGAAAUGAGAACCCUGUGGGUCGGAACAAAGUUUGGAUUAUUUAUGUUGCAAGUAACUAAAAUCUCAAGUGAAACUGGUUUAAACAUUAUAUUUUUAUUAUUUAUUUAUUUAUAUUUAAUUCUUUUUUAGAGACAGGGUCUUCUUAGGUUGCCCAGGCUGGUCUUGAACUCCUGGCCUCAACGAUCUUCCCACUUCAGCCUCCUGCAUUGCUGGGAUUAUAGGUGUGAGCCACCAUGCCUGGCUUACACAGUAUAAAGGGAAUGCAUUGGCCCACACAGUGGAAAAAAAUAUCUAGUAGGAAUAGGAAGGACUUCAGGUGAGGUUUGAUCCAGCAGCUCAAAUGUUGUCACCACAGGCCUGGAUUCCUCUGGCCUUUCUCAAGGUCUCUUUCAUUUUCAUGCUCCACAAGAUGGCUUCUGCCAGGCUGACCUCCCUCCCCUGACCCCAGCAGCUCUGGACACCCCUCUCAGUGCCAUUUAUAUUGUUGCAUCAAUAGGCUCAUUUCUAUAUACUGCAAGGUUCAGAGAAGACAGAGUAUCUCUCUCAAGAGUUCUAACAUAAGUCUGGGGGUCCUGGCUCUCAUAGGCUUGAACAGGGCCACAUGUCCAUUCCUGAGCCAAUAUUUGUGACCAAGGGGAUGUGGUCAAUCUCAUCCAAACCUCACUUGAAGUGAGGGUGGGAGGAGGAGUGCUCUGCAAGGAGACUGUAGGUCUGGACCACCAAAAAGGUAGAUGGGUUGGUGGGAAAAGCCAGAUGCCUACUAUGGUAGUGGGCGGGGGGAGGGCACACUGGCAAGGUACAGCAAGAGGCAGGGGCAGUGCUGGACAGGCAGGGGCUCCUCCCUAGCACGACUGGAGAAAGGACUCCUGUGAAGCGGUCACCUCCAUGAGUCCCUCCUGUCCUGGCUUCCAACCACUCUGAAGUGGGGCUUUUGUCCACAGACCUGGCCUCUGCUGCCUACCCUCUUCUGUCCCCACCUGAUGGGGCCGCUUUCCUUCUGAAGCGGCUGCAUUUUGGGUUUCUCUCCACAGGAAGAGUUGGGGCUCACAGGCACACCCUCUCCCUAACUCUUCUCCCCCGGUUCAACCUGGAUCCAGGGAUCCACACUCUGCUCCGAGAGGCCAGCACGCAGCCACUGGAAAAUGAGCCAGUGGGAGAGGGCAGCUCCAUGUUUAUUGAUCAGCAGACUAUGUCUUUUUGUUUGAAACUUCUAAAUAAGAUUACAAAAAGAAAAAAAAUAGAAGCAUUGCGUAUUAACUGCAUUGGUUAACCAACAUUGGAACCCAAUACUCUUGUAUUAGGCCCGCAUUUACCUGAGUAAACUCAGUGGUUUUCUGUCCUAAGCAUGCUUGCCUGCUACAUCCCAUGGAGAAAAUAAACAGUGAAACACUUUCCUCAUCUUCAAGGCAAUUGUCUCAGGCAUCCUCCAGGCAUCAUGAAGGAGGGUGAGCGAGGGUGCGAGGUGGAAAGGUCCAGGCCGCGGCUGUGACUCCCGCGGGUGAACCACAGCUCCACAGCCCCAAAUCCAAAGAUGCUCUUGCUGCAGCACGACAAGUGUUCAAAAGAGAACCAGGCCCAGCCCGGAGAAAGGAAAGCCAAAAGCCAACUGAAUGAAUGACCCUCCCCCAGAAGAGCAACCCUGCCCCCAGGCCAUCCAAGUGCGAACAUUACCAGGUGCCAGCAGGGAAAGGACUCCGCUGCCUGACGCCUCUCCCACCUGAGAGCGCAGAGGUAGGGAGAUCACAGUGCCUGAGAGGUUUUCCUCCACGGAGAAAUCAGAGACCUCAACCUGCUGCCCUCUAAAGCAGCUUUCUGUAUCCAGACAAAACUUACAUAUGUACACGUUGUUUUAAAACGACAUACUCAUGUGACACACAUGUAUAUAAAUUCAUGUUUAUAUAUGACAAUUGAGGAGAGUUAAAGAACAAGAUAAUUCUGGAUGGAAAAAUCAGUUUGCCUGGGCAUCUGUAAACCUUUGGGCAAGUGAAUUCCCUCUUCUCUCUCAGUUCACCCUUUGGUGACCUCCACCGUGGCUGCAGACUUCAGGUGGUCCUCACGCAUUCACAGAACUGUCUGCUUAGGUUACAGCACUUUGGGAGGCCGAGGUGGGUAGAUCACGAGGUCAGGAGAUCGAGACCAUAUUGACCAACAUGGUAAAACCCCAUCUCUACUAAAAUACAAAAAUUAGCCGGGCGUGGUGGCGGGUGCCUGUAGUCCCAGCUACUUGGGAGGCUGAGGCAGGGGAAUCACUUGAACCUGGGAGGCGGAGGUUGCAGUGAACUGAGAUUGCGCCACUGCACUCCAGCCUGGGUGACAGAGACUUCCUCUCAAAAUAAAAAUAAAAAUAAUAAAAUAAUAAAUGGUUCUUUUCUAUGCGUCUAAUGAAUUUAAGUGCUUGUUAAGACUAAAAACCAUGUUAUGCAUUUCCUGCUCUUAAAACUAAAUUAUGUAGAAAGUAAGCUAGGGAGUGUAAGGGUAGGCAUCUGGAUAUAAAUGCUUCUCCCAAAUCAAGAUUUUCUCUUCAAUCUGUGCCUUUGACCCUGUCACCAAAGGCAGGUGACAGAAAAAAAAAAUUAUGUGCCUUUUGGAAGACUCAGUGGGACGGUUCUGAUUUCAUUCACUUCUGGUGCCAGCAGGCCCCCAUACCAUGUGGCCAUUGCUGUUUCGUGUCUCUUCCUGCAUAAAUAAUGCAGAGAGGCCAUGCAGGUAUGCAAUUUUCUGGAGAUGAGGCAGGGAGAUUUGCAAGGAAAAGUCACCUACCUCCCCAAGCUGGUGCCCACAGAGGGGGAGGCACCUCCACCUGACGCAGGUGUCUGAGCAGCAGUCCAGAGAGGUUUACUCAGGGGAUUUGGGGAGCGCACACUCUGGAGCAGAAGUACAGGUAUGUGCCCGAAUCCUGCCUCGUGAUGGGCAUUCAUGAUACGAACCACACAGCCUUUAAAGAAAAGGUUUUAUAUGAAAGGUUCCAUUUUGUUUCUGUAUAAAGGCUUUUAUCCUGUAAGGAAAAAAAAAAAACACAAAACCC